AUCGCUUCUUGGCCUUUUGGCUAAGAUCAAGUGUACACACAUAUAUACUACACAAUUACAUUGUGUAUGUGUGACAUACACACAUAUACAUUGUAUACAUCAUUCUAGUUACUCCUC
ensembl:snRNA U2 U2 spliceosomal RNA